GGGCCCGCACAAGCGGUGGAGCAUGUGGUUUAAUUUGAUGCAACGCGAAGAACCUUACCAGGGUUUGACAUGGUGAGAAUCCUGCAGAGAUGCGGGAGUGCCUUCGGGAAUUCACAUACAGGUGCUGCAUGGCUGUCGUCAGCUCGUGUCGUGAGAUGUUGGGUUAAGUCCCGCAACGAGCGCAACCCUUUUCCUUAUUUGCCAGCGGGUUAAGCCGGGAACUUUAAGGAUACUGCCAGUGACAAACUGGAGGAAGGCGGGGACGACGUCAAGUCAUCAUGGCCCUUACGACCAGGGCUACACACGUGCUACAAUGGUAGGUACAGAGGGUUGCUACACAGCGAUGUGAUGCUAAUCUCAAAAAGCCUAUCGUAGUCCGGAUUGGAGUCUGCAACUCGACUCCAUGAAGUCGGAAUCGCUAGUAAUCG
rnacentral:rRNA from 1 species